rnacentral:rRNA from 1 species
GUUUGAUCCUGGCUCAGAUUGAACGCUGGCGGCAUGCCUUACACAUGCAAGUCGAACGGCAGCACGGGAGCAAUCCUGGUGGCGAGUGGCGAACGGGUGAGUAACAUAUCGGAACGUGCCCAGUAGUGGGGGAUAGCCCGGCGAAAAGCCGGAUUAAUACCGCAUACGACCUGUGGGUGAAAGCGGGGGAUCGCAAGACCUCGCGCUAUUGGAGCGGCCGAUAUCAGAUUAGCUUGUUGGUGGGGUAAAAGCCUACCAAGGCGACGAUCUGUAGCUGGUCUGAGAGGACGACCAGCCACACUGGGGACUGAGACACGGCCCCAGACUCCUACGGGAGGCAGCAGUGGGGAAUUUUGGACAAUGGGCGCAAGCCUGAUCCAGCCAUGCCGCGUGCGGGAAGAAGGCC